rnacentral:rRNA from 1 species
UACGAAGGGUGCAAGCGUUACUCGGAAUUACUGGGCGUAAAGCGUGCGUAGGUGGUUUUUUAAGUCCGUUGUGAAAGCCCAGGGCUUAACCCUGGAAUUGCCAUUGAAACUGUUCAGCUAGAGAGUGUUAGAGGAAAGUGGAAUUCCUAGUGUAGGAGUGAAAUCCGUAGAGAUUAGGAGGAAUAUCGAUGGCGAAGGCAGCUUUCUGGGACAUUUCUGACGCUGAGAAACGAAAGCGUGGGUAGCAAACAGG